CAUUUUGCCUGUCGCCAUGCAGAGGCUAUUUUUGGAUUAGGGGGUUAGGUUUAGGGUAGAAGUUACAGUUGGGGUUAAGUUUAUCGCUGUCAGGUAUGUUUCUCAGGUUGGGGAUCAAGAAUUAGGUUUUGGCUGAAUCGAAAUGUGUGCGUGUCUUUGGAGACGCCCUAUUUUUGUGUGUUUGUCCAACUGUGUGUGUGUGUGUGUGUGUGUCCAUGUAGGAAGCACAGUGGAGAAAAGCCCUAUGUGUGUGAACAGUGUGGGAAGGGUUUUGCCCAGGCCAGCACGCUGACAUACCAUGUCCGGAUCCACACAGGGGAGAAGCCUUAUCAGUGUGACACCUGUGGGAUGGCCUUCUCCGUCUCCUCUUCUCUCAUCACACACAAACGCAAACACACAGACGGAGGACAGGCGGUGAAGCAGCGUGUGGCGUGUGAGCUCUGCGGAAACACCUACGCUGGCGUAAGCAGCCUGAGGAAACACCAGGAGAGACAUCACUUAGCCCCAGUGGAAAUUCCAGAAGGUGUUCUCCUCCACAACAUUCCUAUUGAUCAUCAGGGGCUGAUCUCCCGCGACGCUCCCAGCCCUGUACCUGAGGAGCCAGAAAACCCAGAGCCUGAAGUGUCGGAGAACCUUGAACCGGAGAACCUUGAACCGGAGAACCUUGAGCCGGAGAACCCAGAGUCUGAAGAGACGGAAAACCUGGAGACUGAAGAGCUGGAAAACCCAGAGCCGGCCACCCCUAACUUGAGCCCUAACCCCCUCCGUGUUCUUGUGGAGCAGCUUCAUACUUCUACCUUCUCCACUUCCUCUUUCCCAGCAGCCCACUGUGACCCAGCUUCCCCCAACGAAAAUAUGGAGCAGAUUAUCAUCAUUAGAACUUUGGACAAUGACCCCUGCCCUGACCCCUGACUUGACCAAUUCUGAUCUGUAACCCAGAACCUAACAUUACUCUCUCAGGCUUUAAGUUCUGUUUUGACUCAAUUACCUGGACCUACAGGAUCCGGUAUUAAUCAGCUGUAUAGAACUGUGUGAAUCAGGAUCAGUGUUCCCUCUAAUUAAUAUAGGCACUGAGCAACUGUCUUCACGUUCGAGCACCACUUUUAAUUCAUAAACAAGGUUGUUUUGUUUUUUUACCUGAGUUUUGUUUCAUACUCUUGUAGUAAGCAGUAAGUCAGUCAUUUGCUUACCAAUACUUAACCUAGAACUAGGCUAAUGACUCACUAACAUAUUGGUCUAAGCUCGCUCUGAAAAUCCAGUUGGAAUAAUGCUUGCUCAUGGGCUAUGGUGAACAGUUUCUACUCUGAUGCGUACAUUCUGGCCCUACCAAUCACAGGUUCAGUCUUGCUGAGUUUUGGUUUGUUGCAUUGAAAAGGGGCUGAUGUGUUUUUUUCCAUGAUAGGGCGUCUUGUUCCAUGUAGGGACAAUAUAAUUAGGCAAACUCAGUGAAUUAAUUUGCUCUUUGAGACAGUCCUGGAAGGAGCAUGAGUCCAUGUGCACAGCUUAGAGGGAACAUUGAUGUGAAGUCUUUGCAAAAUAUUUAGAAUUCUGAAAAAUGUGCUUUAAAAUAUAUUUUCUCUCUAACUAAUUGGAAUAACGAGUGCAGAAAAUCAGAUGUAAAACUGUUUUAACCUAUGGCAAAAUCAGUAGAACUGCAUGAUUUGUUUUUUAGAUAAUGCAGGAAUAAUGGCUGGCCUAUGGCUAAAUUAAUGAAAUGUUUUAAAUUGCAGAAUGUUCUCUUUAUUGCAUGGCAAAAUGUGUAUAAUUGCAGAAAACCUAUUUUAAAACUGCCAAAAUUCUCUAUAUUUCAUUGGUAAUAUCUGCAUAAUUGCAAGAAAUUAAAAAGGAAACACCUCAAAUGUUUUGUUCUGAGGGGAUCCACAAACCGUACCCCACCACAGGACCCCGAAACACUAGGACCGGCACCGCAUUCAGAUCUAACAGUAUUUGUAUGUUUUAAAUGUUUGUUGUCAUAUAUAGUUAUAUAAGUGAUUGCAGAAGCUUGAUGACCUACCCACAGAAUAACCAGCCUCACAAUUCACUGGCUUUUUUGUUUCUAAACAUCCUCAAUGAUAAUCUUUUUGAUAUUCUUGUUUUAAAAAAAAAUAAAAGUCUCACUAACAGGGCUUUAGGUAAUGAGAUUGAUGGAUAUUUGUGAAGUGUUUAUUUUUUUUCUCCUUUCAAUUCAACAGCUCUACUCUUAAUGCUGGGAAAUAAAUAUCUGGAAUCUGUGUGCUUUCUCAUCCUUUCAGCAAAUGCACAUUAAACCGUAAUACGAUUUUAUCCUUCAACAUUUUGUUAGUGUGUGCUAACAAAAUGGGGGGGCAACAUGUAAUUGUAAUUUUUUUAUGAGAUGAAAUAAAAGACUACAGAAACUUUUCUACACAUA
ensembl:lncRNA